rnacentral:tRNA from 1 species
GUCUAAGGUAUCCUAGUGGACAUGGCAUCUGCCCGGUAAGCGGAACACUGUGGGUUCGAUUCCCAUCCCUGGACA